GACGGUUGUCCCGGUUUAAGCGUGUAGGUGUGUGUUCCAGGUAAAUCCGGUUCACUUUAACACUGAGGCGUGAUGACGAGGCACUACGGUGCUGAAGCAACAAAUGCCCUGCUUCCAGGAAAAGCCUCUAAGCAUCAGGUAACAUCAAAUCGUACCCCAAACCGACACAGGUGGUCAGGUAGAGAAUACCAAGGCGCUUGAGAGAACUCGGGUGAAGGAACUAGGCAAAAUGGUGCCGUAACUUCGGGAGAAGGCACGCUGACACGUAGGUGAAGUGAUUUACUCAUGGAGCUGAAGUCAGUCGAAGAUACCAGCUGGCUGCAACUGUUUAUUAAAAACACAGCACUGUGCAAACACGAAAGUGGACGUAUACGGUGUGACGCCUGCCCGGUGCCGGAAGGUUAAUUGAUGGGGUCAGCGCAAGCGAAGCUCCUGAUCGAAGCCCCGGUAAACGGCGGCCGUAACUAUAACGGUCCUAAGGUAGCGAAAUUCCUUGUCGGGUAAGUUCCGACCUGCACGAAUGGCGUAAUGAUGGCCAGGCUGUCUCCACCCGAGACUCAGUGAAAUUGAACUCGCUGUGAAGAUGCAGUGUACCCGCGGCAAGACGGAAAGACCCCGUGAACCUUUACUAUAGCUUGACACUGAACAUUGAGCCUUGAUGUGUAGGAUAGGUGGGAGGCUUUGAAGUGUGGACGCCAGUCUGCAUGGAGCCGGCCUUGAAAUACCACCCUUUAAUGUUUGAUGUUCUAACGUGGACCCGUGAUCCGGGUUGCGGACAGUGUCUGGUGGGUAGUUUGACUGGGGCGGUCUCCUCCUAAAGAGUAACGGAGGAGCACGAAGGUUGGCUAAUCCUGGUCGGACAUCAGGAGGUUAGUGCAAUGGCAUAAGCCAGCUUGACUGCGAGCGUGACGGCGCGAGCAGGUGCGAAAGCAGGUCAUAGUGAUCCGGUGGUUCUGAAUGGAAGGGCCAUCGCUCAACGGAUAAAAGGUACUCCGGGGAUAACAGGCUGAUACCGCCCAAGAGUUCAUAUCGACGGCGGUGUUUGGCACCUCGAUGUCGGCUCAUCACAUCCUGGGGCUGAAGUAGGUCCCAAGGGUAUGGCUGUUCGCCAUUUAAAGUGGUACGCGAGCUGGGUUUAGAACGUCGUGAGACAGUUCGGUCCCUAUCUGCCGUGGGCGCUGGAGAACUGAGGGGGGCUGCUCCUAGUACGAGAGGACCGGAGUGGACGCAUCACUGGUGUUCGGGUUGUCAUGCCAAUGGCACUGCCCGGUAGCUAAAUGCGGAAGAGAUAAGUGCUGAAAGCAUCUAAGCACGAAACUUGCCCCGAGAUGAGUUCUCCCUGAGACUUUAGGUCUCCUGAAGGAACGUUGAAGACGACGACGUUGAUAGGCCGGGUGUGUAAGCGCAGCGAUGCGUUGAGCUAACCGGUACUAAUGAACCGUGAGGCUUAACCUUACA
rnacentral:rRNA from 1 species